rnacentral:rRNA from 1 species
CCUACGGGUGGCAGCAGUGAGGAAUAUUGCACAAUGGACGAGAGUCUGAUCCAGCCAAGUAGCGUGAAGGAUGACGGCCCUAUGGGUGGUAAACUUCUUUUAUAAAGGAAUAAAACGAGGCACGUGUGCCUUUUUCCAUGUCCUUUAUGGAUAAGGAUCGGCUAACACCGUGCCAGCAGCCGCGGUAAUACGGAGGAUCCGAGCGUUAUCCGGAUUUAUUGGGUUGAAAGGGAGCGUAGAUGGGUUGUUAAGUCAGUUGUGAAAGUUUGCGGCGCAACCGUAAAAUUGCAAUUGAUAAUGGCAGUCUUGAGUACAGUUGAGGUAGGCGGAAUUCGUGGUGUAGCGGUGAAAUGCUUAGAUAUCACGAAGAACCCCGAUUGCGAAGGCAGCUUACUAAACUGUGACUGACAUUGAUGCUCGAAAGUGUGGGUAUCAAACAGGAUUAGAUACCCCUGUAGUC